rnacentral:rRNA from 1 species
GAGUGAUCAGAAGUGAGAAUGUUGACAUGAGUAGCGACAAACAGGGUGAGAGACCCUGUCGCCGAAAGUCCAAGGGUUCCUGCUUAAAGCUAAUCUGAGCAGGGUAAGCCGGCCCCUAAGGCGAGGCCGAAAGGCGUAGUCGAUGGGAACCAGGUUAAUAUUCCUGGGCCAGGAGAUGGUGACGGAUCACAGAGCUAGUGAGGUCUUAUCGGAUUGAUCUUGCUGGUGAGUGGUUCCUGGAAAUAGCCCUCCAUGAGACCGUACCCUAAACCGACACAGGUGGACUGGUAGAGAAUACCAAGGCGCUUGAGAGAACCACAUUUAAGGAACUCGGCAAAAUACCUCCGUAAGUUCGCGAGAAGGAGGCCCCGUUUGUACGCAAGUAUGGGCGGGGGGCACAAACCAGGGGGUGGCGACUGUUUACUAAAAACACAGGGCUCUGCGAGGUCGCAAGACGACGUAUAGGGUCUGACGCCUGCCCGGUGCCGGAAGGUUAAGAGGAGAUGUGCAAGCAUUGAAUUGAAGCCCCGGUAAACGGCGGCCGUAACCAUAACGGUCCUAAGGUAGCGAAAUUCCUUGUCGGGUAAGUUCCGACCUGCACGAAUGGCGCAACGACUUCCCCGCUGUCUCAAAUGUGGACUCAGCGAAAUUGAAUUGUCUGUGAAGAUGCAGACUUCCCGCGGUUAGACGGAAAGACCCCAUGCACCUUUACUAUAGCUUCGCACUGGCAUCAGGAUUGUGAUGUGCAGGAUAGGUGGUAGGCAUUGAAACCGGGACGCCAGUUCCGGUGGAGCCAUCCUUGAGAUACCACCCUUCGCACUCUUGGUGUCUAACCGCGGCCCGUUAUCCGGGUCCGGGACCCUGCGUGGUGGGUAGUUUGACUGGGGCGGUCGCCUCCCAAAGAGUAACGGAGGCGCGCGAAGGUUGGCUCAGAGCGGUCGGAAAUCGCUCGUUGAGUGCAAUGGCAGAAGCCAGCCUGACUGCGAGUCUGACAAGUCGAGCAGAGACGAAAGUCGGCCAUAGUGAUCCGGUGGCCCCGAGUGGAAGGGCCAUCGCUCAACGGAUAAAAGGUACGCUGGGGAUAACAGGCUGAUGAUGCCCAAGAGUCCAUAUCGACGGCAUCGUUUGGCACCUCGAUGUCGGCUCAUCUCAUCCUGGGGCUGGAGCAGGUCCCAAGGGUAUGGCUGUUCGCCAUUUAAAGAGGUACGUGAGCUGGGUUUAGAACGUCGUGAGACAGUUCGGUCCCUAUCUGCCGUGGGUGUAGGAUACUUGAGAGGAGUUGCCCCUAGUACGAGAGGACCGGGGUGAACGUUCCACUGGUGGACCAGUUGUCGUGCCAACGGCAGUGCUGGGUAGCUAUGAACGGACAGGAUAAACGCUGAAGGCAUCUAAGCGUGAAGCCCCCCUCAAAACAAGGUAUCCCUUGAGAGCCGUGGAAGACCACCACGUCGAUAGGCCGGAGAUGUAAGCGCAGCAAUGCGUUCAGUUGACCGGUACUAAUGGCUUG